rnacentral:rRNA from 1 species
UGGGGAAUAUUGGACAAUGGGCGAAAGCCUGAUCCAGCGACGCCGCGUGGGUGAAGAAGGCCUGCGGGUUGUAAAGCCCUUUCGGUGGGGAAGAAAAGCCUCGACCUAACACGUCGGGGUCUUGACGUAACCCAUAGAAGAAGCACCGGCUAACUCUGUGCCAGCAGCCGCGGUAAUACAGAGGGUGCAAGCGUUAAUCGGAUUUACUGGGCGUAAAGCGUGCGUAGGCGGUUCAGUAUGUCGGUCGUGAAAUCCCCGGGCUUAACCUGGGAACUGCGGCCGAAACUGCUGGGCUCGAGUGUGGUAGAGGGCGGUGGAAUUCCGGGUGUAGCGGUGAAAUGCGUAGAGAUCCGGAGGAACAUCAAUGGCGAAGGCAGCUGCCUGGGCCACAACUGACGCUGAGGUACGAAAGCGUGGGGAGCAAA